UAUCUGGUUGAUCCUGCCAGUAGUCAUAUGCUUGUCUCANAGACUAAGCCAUGCAUGUCUAAGUAUAAGCAGAUUAUACUGCGAGACUGCGGACGGCUCAUUAAAACAGUCACAAUCUAUUCGAUGAUUCUUACUACUCGGAUAACCGUAGUAAUUCUACAGCUAAUACGUGCACAAACACCAGGCUCGCUCUGGUGGUAUUUAUUAGAUCAAACGCCAAUAGACUUACGUCUUUCGGUGAAUCAUAGUAACUUCUCGGAUCGGUCUCAGACCGACAAAUCGUUCGAAUUUCUGCCCUAUCAGCUUUCGAUGGUAGGAUAGAGGCCUACCAUGGCUUUAACGGGUGGCGGAGAAUUAGGGUUCGAUUCCGGAGAGGGAGCCUGAGAAACGGCUACCACAUCCAAGGAAGGCAGCAGGCGCGCAAAUUACCCAAUCCCGACUCGGGGAGGUAGUGACAAAGAAAUAACAAUAGCCCGGUUAAUUACGAUUGGCUAAUUGGAAUGAGUACAAUUUAAAUCUCUUAACGAGGAUCCAUUGGAGGGCAAGUCUGGUGCCAGCAGCCCGCGGUAAUUUCAGCUUCAAUAGCGUAUACUAAAUUUGGUGCAAGUUAAAAAGCUCGGAAGUUGGAUUUCUUUUCUUUGUCGCUGGGAGCCCUUCAUCUUGAAGGUUUCCAACAACUGGGGAAAAACAUUUGUCGCAAACCCGGUCCGAAUACUGUCAUGGUGUUCGGCCGUAAGUGGACUCGUUACUUUUAGAAAAUAAAGUGGUCAAAGNANGCUUUUCGCUUGAA
rnacentral:rRNA from 1 species